AAUGGUUUGGGCUGCAAGAAGCCUGGGAAGUCAUCUAGUUUCAACCUUUGUGCCACAGGCACGUUGCACAUAUGUGAGGCAGAUCCUCCAGCAGCUGGGCUCAGACACGAGUGUGACCGGGAGCUGCCCCUGUCCCAGUGUCACCAGCUGGUGACACACAGACAUGCAGGCUCCAGGGGCUGCAGCCCUGCUCCAGUUGCUGGUACCAACCAUCACACUGGUCAUGACUUCCUAGCAAUAUGGAAAGUACUUGUGGGAAAUACUUUUGGGCCAUUACUCUUGACUACAGCAGCCCAGAAGCUUAUCGUGAUAGGCAUAUUAGAACUGUGUAUUAUGCAUAAUCAAGGCCUGCAAAACCACUUUAUUUUCUUUUUUGUUUUCUUUUUUUAUUGCUUACAGAAAUAACAACUAAGGUAUGUAUCUUGCUUUCAAAGGUAUUUAAAAUUAAAUUUUUAAAUACAAAAGAGACCUAAAACCAAAAUUAAUUUAUUAUGAAUCUAUUACUCAUGCCAGGUAUGCCUGUGGGAUAAAUGAAUAGUUCAGACUGGGUGUGGAUAAAUGGCAAGUGGAGUUAAUCAGAAGCAAAUGGAAAAGUCCUUAAGCGUUUGUAAUUUCCCAGUCCAGGCACAAGUCUCCAAUGGUAUUUAGAGAAUUCACAUAUCUGCUUGCUAGUUAGCUUAGAGAAAUUCCACUUGAGUGUCUGUAGAACCUACUUUGAGUCAAGAAAACUUCUGUUUGUGUCCAUGAUCUAACCCUAAAGGAAAACAAUUUGGGAUUAAACAAAAAUGUGGAACCGCUGGGGAAGCAGAAUGUAUUCAUGCACACUACAUAGUUAAAGACUUGUGGAGAAUCCAAGUAAAUUAUGGUCAACCAGAAAACUCCAAGGCAUAAUGACUUAUAACCAAAUUGCAUUUAAAACCUUAGGUACCUUUGAGAAAAAAUGAGAGUGUUACCACACAAUUGCAUAAUUUCCAUUGCGUGAGUGUAAAAAAUUGAGAGAAAAGAAGUGUGAGAUCAUUCAAAAACAGUAGGUCAGAAGCUAAUUCAAAUGUGAUUAAAUAAAUCUCAUUAGGAAAUAUCCA
rnacentral:lncRNA from 1 species